GACGAACGCUGGCGGCGUGCUUAACACAUGCAAGUCGAACGGAAAGGCCCUGCUUUUGUGGGGUGCUCGAGUGGCGAACGGGUGAGUAACACGUGAGUAACCUGCCCUUGACUUUGGGAUAACUUCAGGAAACUGGGGCUAAUACCGGAUAGGAGCUCCUGCUGCAUGGUGGGGGUUGGAAAGUUUCGGCGGUUGGGGAUGGACUCGCGGCUUAUCAGCUUGUUGGUGGGGUAGUGGCUUACCAAGGCUUUGACGGGUAGCCGGCCUGAGAGGGUGACCGGCCACAUUGGGACUGAGAUACGGCCCAGACUCCUACGGGAGGCAGCAGUGGGGAAUAUUGCACAAUGGGCGGAAGCCUGAUGCAGAAACGCCGGGUGCGGGAUGACGGCCUUCGGGUUGUAAACCGCUUUCGCCUGUGCCGAAGCGUGAGUGACGGUAAUGGGUAAAGAAGCACCGGCUAACUACGUG
rnacentral:rRNA from 1 species